AGGACGAACGCUGGCGGCGUGCUUAACACAUGCAAGUCGAACGAGGAUCAAGGAAGAGCUUGCUCCGAGAUGAUCGAGUGGCGGACGGGUGAGUAACGCGUGAACAAUCUGUCUCAUACAGGGGGAUAACGCAUCGAAAGAUGUGCUAAUACCGCGUAGGACCACAGCAUCGCAUGGUGCAGGGGUGAAAGGAGCAAUCCGGUAUGAGGUGAGUUCGCGUCUGAUUAGAUAGUUGGUGAGGUAACGGCCCACCCAAGUCAACGAUCAGUAGCCGACCUGAGAGGGUGAUCGGCCACAUUGGGACUGAGACACGGCCCAGACUCCUACGGGGGGCAGCAGUGGGGAAUAUUGGGCAAUGGGCGAAAGCCCUGACCCAGCAACGCCGCGUGAAGGAAGAAGGUUUUCGGAUCGUAAACUUCUGUCCUUGGUGAAGAUAGUGACGGUAGCCAAGGAGGAAGCCCCGGCUAACUACGUGCCAGCAGCAGC
rnacentral:rRNA from 1 species